rnacentral:misc_RNA from 1 species
GCAAACUUGGUCAUUUAGAGGAAGUAAAAGUCGUAACAAGGUUUCCGUAGGUGAACCUGCGGAAGGAUCAUUAUCGAAUAACACUUGAUGGGUUGUAGCUGGCCUCAAUGGGGCAUGUGCACAUCUGUCUUUUGUUUCAUUCAUCCAUCUGUGCACUAUUUGUAGUCUUUGGGGGCUGAGAACAGCUGAUUCCUCAGUUGAGAGACUGGACGAGAGGGACUGCAUGUGCGCGUGAGUGCGCACAGCUUUCCUCAGUAGCAGGCUGUGAUCUCCCUUGAAGUCUAUGACUUUUAUCUAUAAACCAUAUAGUAUGUUAUAGAAUGUAUUUGAAAGGGCUCUCGGCCCAUAAACUCUAUACAACUUUCAGCAACGGAUCUCUUGGCUCUCGCAUCGAUGAAGAACGCAGC